rnacentral:rRNA from 1 species
GAUGAACGCUGGCGGCGUGCCUAAUACAUGCAAGUCGAGCGAAUGGAUUAAGAGCUUGCUCUUAUGAAGUUAGCGGCGGACGGGUGAGUAACACGUGGGUAACCUGCCCAUAAGACUGGGAUAACUCCGGGAAACCGGGGCUAAUACCGGAUAACAUUUUGAACCGCAUGGUUCGAAAUUGAAAGGCGGCUUCGGCUGUCACUUAUGGAUGGACCCGCUUCGCAUUAGCGAGUUGGUGAGGUAACGGCUCACCAAGGCAACGAUGCGUAGCCGACCUGAGAGGGUGAUCGGCCACACUGGGACUGAGACACGGCCCAGACUCCUACGGGAGGCAGCAGUAGGGAAUCUUCCGCAAUGGACGAAAGUCUGACGGAGCUACGCCGCGUGAGUGAUGAAGGCUUUCGGGUCGUAAAACUCUGUUGUUAGGGAAGAACAAGUGCUAGUUGAAUAAGCUGGCACCUUGACGGUACCUAACCAGAAAGCCACGGCUAACUACGUGCCAGCAGCCGCAGUAA